rnacentral:sRNA from 1 species
GAUAUUUCCGGUGUAUCCAAUCAGGCAAUUGUAUUGGCUGAUUGAGAUUUUUUUUACCUGGCGGAGUAAUACAGCAGGGAACUACAAUCAAUCUGAGGCUUGGAUCAAGACCAAUCAUGCAGACCCGUUUCAUAGCGCCGUCUGUCACAUGCGUGUGGAUUUCCAAUAUCUAGACGUUUUAGUUUACAAACUACGAAUGGUUUGAAUGGGGGAUCGCUGUGUUCCACGCUCUUUGGGCCUGAUGUGAGCAGGUUUUGUUUAAAAAAUUAGAAAGGAUUAACUGAUGGCAUCAUUUUCAUUCGGGAAAUAAAAAUCACAAUGGGAUGAACUCGGGCAUAUAGUGUGAUGAAUUUUUAUGUGUUUUUGAGUUGGAUUUUUGAAAGCCUUUGAUGUUUAUAGAAAAAAUAAGACAAUGACAGAAAAUAAAAACAAAGGUGGAGGGGAACAGAACCUUACGGUGGCACUUCGAAUAAGACCCAUGAAUGAAGAUGAGAUCUUGAUGGGAGCCACGCAAAUAGCACACAAGGUCCAAAAGAAGAUGUGUGUAUUGAUGGACCCAAUGGAGGACCCCGAGGAUGUGCUGAGAGCCAAUCGCUCGCGAGAGAAACAGUUCGUCUUUGACUGCACUUUUGAUGGUGGAGCCUCUCAGGAGGAAGUUUAUAGAACUACUUCCCGGUUUUUGAUACCCAGUGUAAUCUCUGGAUACAAUGCCACUGUUUUUGCCUAUGGGGCCACUGGUGCUGGUAAGACCUACACAAUGUUGGGAGCUCAUGAUGAACCAGGCAUCAUGGCCCAGGCACUCAAUGACCUGUUCUUAGAGAUGGACAGAACAAGCCAGGAUAUGUCCUAUAAAGUGACCAUGUCCUAUCUAGAGAUUUACAAUGAAAUGAUUCGAGACCUUUUAAAUCCAAAGGUCACAGCAAGGUCAACAGAUGAGGUAAUUGACAUGUUGCUGAAAGGAAACAAAGAAAGGACACAGGAACCUACAGCGGCAAACAAAACGUCCUCAAGAUCCCAUGCAGUUACUACAAGUGUCCGUCAAACAACAGAAUCGGGUCCGCAGCACCACACAGGAAGUCAGGAUUGGAAGACUUUUUAUGAUCGAUCUGGCUGGAUCAGAGAGGGCAGCAAACACGCAUAACCGCGGAAAACGUAUGGUCGAAGGAGCUCAUAUAAAUAGGUCAUUGCUUGCUCUUGGAAACUGCAUUAAUGCAUUGACGGAUACAAAGGGAUCCAAGUACGUCAAUUAUCGAGACAGUAAGUUAACACGCCUGCUGAAGGAAGCGCUUGGAGGAAACUGCAAGACGGUCAUGAUUGCCCACAUUAGUCCCGCCUCCAUCCAUUUUGAGGAGUCCAGAAACACACUGGUUUAUGCUGACAGGGCAAAACAUAUCAAAACUAAGGUCAGAAGAAAUGUGACCGACGUGUCCUAUCACAUUGCCCAGUACACCAACAUAAUACAAGAGCUGAGGGAGGAGAUACAGCGACUAAGGCACAGGCUCCACGACAAAUCCACGGGCAGUCCCCGCCCCGGCGUCAACAUACAGGCUGUACAAGCUGAAGUUGUUGAAGCCAAGAGGGAGGAACUAAAUAAAUUAAAAGAGCAACUGCUGAUAUCUUUCAAAGACCAGAUGGAACUCAGGAAAAGCUUGAUGGAGUUGAAUAAUGCCUCCAUGGAAGUCAGUUUGGAGACCAAUAGAAAUCAACUCGUCAUUAGCGAGUGGGAAUUGGAUAAAGUCAGGUCUUCUAGAAGGAAAGAAGGGGGAGAUAAGGCAGAUACAGAAGACUCCAAGGCCCUGGAGCUGGCAGGAGCUGGGUCUGACGAACUCCAGGAGACGGAGGAUGUUAAGCUGGCCCGUGAGGAGCUGAAGGUCCUUCACGACGAGAAGCACCGAACGGAGAAGUUACGUGCAACCGUCAUGAAAGAGCUGGAGCAAGCCAGGGUUAAAACCAGGCAGAUUGAGGAGACUAUCCCCAAGAGAAUUAAUACAGAGGAUCAGCGAGAAAUUCUCAGUCUGUUGUGUAAGGUGCAUGAGCUCGAGAUUGAGAAUACGGAGACCCAAUCUGCCUGCCUGUUGAGAGAGUUCCAGAUCAAACGCAAAGAUAUGGUGAUUUUGAAGUUUCGACAACACCAGAAUCUCUGCGACCAAAUCAUUCAACGGCAGAAACAGAUCAUGGAAGAGAACAAGAUAGCGCCUACUCAGGAUUUGGAGGAGCUAUACAGUCUGUAUAAACACGAGAGAGACGAUAGGAUAAUGCUGAGAGAGGAGUCAGGACAACUCAGUCCUGAGCUCAGGCUGAAGGCUCCGUCAAUCUCCAGUAACUACAGAAAUAUGGCAGAAGAGGUGGACCAACUCAGUACACUAACUGAGGAGGACGAGCGAGGCAACCUCCUGUCCUACCGAUCAGGUGAUGGAGACGACAAACUCUUUUCAAAGAGUGCAAGAGGACUAAAAGGAAGUCAUAACUUAACUGGUGCUUGGAGGAAUGACUCUAAUCUAAGUAAUGGUGCAAGUGGAUAUACCCCUCCUGAGGACCGAAAGGAAAUCACAUCAAACACGCGCAGCAUAGCGGCCCUGGCUGCCAAGAAACGCUCCAAAGCACACAAUGACCUUUUAAACCUAGAGAGACAAUUCGGAGGUGAGCCUCGUACAUUGAACAGGAAUUCCGAUAACGAUUAUUUAUCUCCCUCAACUCUGGCGAAACAUGACCGAAACUAUGGUGAACUAGUGCUGCCCCCGCUGAGUAAACCGCCCAGUGAGGAUAACCUGGACAAUAUUUCAACAGGGACGAAGCAGAGUACGAAUACGGACAGCACGUUACCUCCUCUCAGGAACGAGAAUAACUUCAGGAGAGGAGGGGAUAUCAGGAGGAAUAGAAGGACAAGGGGCUAUGAUGUGUCCCAGAAUAGAAGAUCUCAGGCUCAUGGAGACAAUGGGAAACCAGGUGACAGCAGGGACUGGACUCCACCCAGUGUGAACAAAAGAGGCGGGAAAACCAAAAGAUACGGCAACAGAGGCUCAAAUGAAUAUAAUGGCAACUCAAAUAACAGGAAAAAAGUUCCCACAAUUCCAUCAUACAGAAAAGGGGACAUUACUGUUAUGGGAUUUAGCCUACCGAGAUAAUUUAGUGCUCCUACACGUAAAAACGGUGGACAUACAUGUAAUCUUGCCAAUUUGUUUGAGACAAGUUGCAUAUUUUAUCAUAAGUCAUUUGGAAAAGUCCAUUUAUUGAACUACACGUACAUCAUGUAUCAUCCAGUGAAAAACUAUAUUCUUUUGUGCUUAAUUUCUGCAUGUUUGAAGUUUGUUUUUUUUUAAUACAAAUACAGUAAGGAUAUUUAAUAAUUUGUAAAUUUAAUUUUAUGAAUGAAUUGUGACUGUAACUGAUUUAAAGAAAAAGAAAAAUUAUGGUAGCAGUUCUUUUCACAUCUGUGUUAAAAGAUCUAGUUUUGAACCUAUAAAUCUACUCUUCAAAUGUUUUAAAAUCAGUCAAGGGGGGAAACUCUCAGUGUAAUUCUCUUUCAUUUGUUUCUUUGAUUAAUGAUAUGAAGUUCAAAGUAUGCAUAAUGAGAUGAUUUCCAAAAUAUGGUAUAUUUUUUGAUAGAUUACAGUAAGAAUAUAAUAUCAAUAAUGAGCUUAAUGUGUCCACUUCACUCCGAAAAGUGUUUAUCUGCAAUAUAGAGAUUGGCAAUUCUAACUGACUCCUUUGUAAUACUGUGGCUGUUUCUGAGAUGAAUUUGUUUGCAUGUGAAACAAUAUCAUUUCAUAACUCUUUUGUGUGAGAGUACUUUGUAUCAAAUGUGCCAAUAUGAACAAAAUGUGCUUGUUUUUAUGAAGAUGUUUUUUCUUCUAUUUGGAUACAGAUCGUGUCAUGAUACAAUACAUGUACCUGUAUAUCAGGGGAUUUUUCACCUGUCACUUCAUAUUUUUGUGAAAUUUUAAUUGAAAGCAAAGUCAUGCACUAGCCCACAUAGUACUUAAAGUUUUCUUUGUGUUGAAACUGUGACAUUGUUGUUGUGUUUUUAUUUUCUACUUCAGGUAAUUUUUCAAUCUUGCCAUAUGAGAGACUGUGAUAUUGUGACUGCUGAUGAAACUUUUCCUGAAUGAUGUAGAUUCAUGUAUAUUCUUCCUGCAUGUGUGGGAAUUCAGUUUUUGUAUUCCCAAGAAUAUAUGUUAUUGUUGAAAAAAAAAAUGAUUUUAAAAGAUUCAUUAUGAAAAAAAGUGUAUGUAACUCAUAUUUUUGAGUGAAUUAGAUUGAUAAUUUUUGAUUUUAAGUUUUCUGCCUUAAUUUUAAAAGAUCUGUAUUUAAUUACUGAAUUACAAAAUAUAGAUAAAAGAAUCCAGUUGACUAAAAUGUCCUCUUUGCAAUAAUGUACAUUGCAUUUCUUUCAGAAAAUAUCUCUCCUUGGUGUAAAUAAGAAUUAAGAAUGCUGCCCAAGUACAUAUAUAUAUCUCUCAACAAUGCAAUUUCUGUCUCACUGCAAUUGGAAAGUAAUUUUAAUCAUCAGUUUAUUGUUAUUUCUUGUUAUUGUCUUUUUUAUUAUUGUUAUUGAAUUCUGUUCUUUGUUUUUGGUUAUUCUUUCCUCAGUUUUGUGAUAUCAUGCAAUGUUUUUACCUAGCAUUAUAAGAUUGAUAUUAAGCAAAGAAAAAAAAGAUGUCGACUUUUUUUAUAAUGGUAUUGAAGAAUUUUUUACCCAAUAUUAUGAGUUUAAUUUAAGGCAUAUUGUAAAUUAUGUACAAAAUAAUUUAGACCUAUUGUUUCAUUAUGAAGAACAAACUGCUGAUACAUUUAAGUGACCUUGAAGAUUUUUAAUACAACCUUUUCUUAAAUGAAUGAGAGGAUUUUGUUAUUUUCGAAGUUGCACUUAUGAUUUUCGUAGGACAUGCACAAAAAACGUAAAUUAGAAGGGUCGAUUUAUCUAAUCAUAGAUUUUAGAAUUGUAUUCAAUAUCAUUGUUUUGCAUUUAUAAUGACUUUUCAAUUGCAUUCUUGUAAUGUUUUCUCCAUAAGAUUUGUUAUUGCAUGAUUGGCAAUAUUGAUAUGAUGAAUUAAACUUUAUAAAACUAC